AGGCGCGGGGGCGGGGCGGUGGAAGGUAUAUAAGAUCCGCCGCAAGGCGGGCCUGAAUGCGGCGGCGCGGGGAGGCCCAGUUUUUCUAACCCUAAGCUUAACGCGGCCCCUCCCCGCCGCAGCCGGCCGCUGUUUUACUCGCUGACUUUCAGCGGCCGGGGGGAGCGGGCGGAGACAGCAACCAAAAAACGUCAGCGAGGGGGUCCUCCCCUCCCACGCCGACCUGCGCCGGUGGUGGGGCCCGCCAGCGAAGUCCCCGCCGCCCCGCCCUGGUGAGGCCGCGGUCAGCCGGUUCGCGCCACUGCUGCCGCGAAGAGUUCGUCUCUGUCAGCCUCGGGGGCGGCCGGGGUGGAAGGGCGGGUCCCGGGCGGGUCGGCCGGGAGAGCAAACGUGAGCGGCAGCCCCAGCGCAACCGCCCUCCCCUGAGCUGUGGGGCCCGCGGUCGGGGCUGCUCUCAGACACGCCGAGUCGGGGGCGGAGCAGCGCCCGUCUCCUGCCGCCGCGCGAAUCUGCCCUGGCCUCCGUCCGCCGUGAGGAGGCUGCGCCGCCCAACGGCGGGCGAGCGGUUUCCUGUCCCCCGGGGCCCCACUCCGCGACCCCGGCCCCACCCCGUCUGUGAGUCCGUCCCCGACAGGCUGGGGGGCCUUGCUCUCUGGCCCUGCCCCUGGGACCCCAACUCAUGCACAGGGUCCUGCUCUGUGCGCGGGACCCCCUUGCCCCCCCAAACAUCCAUGAUCCGUUACUCUUCCCCCUCUGGCGGCCCCCGGCCCACGGGGCUGUGCUCUGUGACUCUCCAUGCUUGGCGGUGCGUGAAGAGGGCAAGAAGGGUCACAGGUUAGCGCGGGGAGUGCGGUUGGGGGAGGGGCAGGGUCAAAGCCUGCUAGAGAAGUGGUCGGGAGAAGGGAGGCUCCCAGAGGCCCAAUUUCGUGAUCUGUGGACUUCCUGGAUCCCAAAGGAGAGCUGCAGGGGAAAAAAAAAAAAACAACAAAAAAACACAAAAAUAGGAGCCUUGAAUGUGCAGCCUCUCUUACAGGAGAAGCCUCUUUUUGUCCAGGAAUUAAAAAAAAAAAAAAAAAAAAGUCAGGCUGAGAGUUGAUUUCAUCUCACUUCCCCAUCAGUCUUGCCAUCUUAAACAAGACUUUUUUAAUUUUUUGCGACUCAGACAUGCAUGCUGUGAUACAGGCUCGUGAUAUUAAACUGAUUUAAUUAUUAAGCAAUCUAGGAUAUUAAUCUCAGGAUGCUUUUACCAUGUGGUUAACCAAUUGCAGUUGAUAAAAUACUUGUUCUCCUGCAAGUUAAAAGUAAGCAGGGAACAGCUCAAGAUCUGCAUUUUCAAGUUGACACGCUUGAUUCAGAAAAUUGAAGCCAGAAGGAUGGAUGUGUCAUUCAAAGGCUCAAGAAUUCUCUGGUUCCGGUAUGUAUGCUACUUGGUUGAAGACUUGGGAACCAAAUUUGAAAUCCAGAGGAGACCUAUUACCACUGUCAGAAAGGCAUAGUUCUUAUGCUGUUUACAGGUUCCUAACUAAAUACCGUGUAAUGCUUGACAGGGAAGAAUACAUGUUGACAGCAUUUCUUAAGACAUGCUUCAAGGACAAAAUUAAAAUACUUCCAUAGGGUGUAGACAUCAAUCACCAGAAGGAUGUUCUUGUACACCAAGUAGCUUUCCAAUGACCUUAACACGUUGGCCAACACAGGAGCUGCUAUAGUAAUUACAAAUUACAUUAAGUAUCAAUCAAAAGCCACCAUCCAACUAGAAGACAAACCUUUUAUGCAUUAUUAAAAUAAGAUCCUUCCCAGAAGAUUUAGGUUAAUAAAAUUGAAUUUAAUAAUGCAGUGAGUGAAACUCAAGUUUAAAAAAAAUUUGAUUUCUCCUUUGUUGAUAAUAUCCUAAGAAAUCCUAUGUUUUAUAUAAUGCAUAAAAUACAUAAAUCUUUGAAUAAUCCCUUGAAUGGAUUCACAGUUCAGUCUCACAUUCUCUCAGGGGUUCCCUUUAUUUUUAUUGUAAUUUUAAUUGUUUUUAUUGUAUAUUUUAUUGUGAAAUAAUUGCUAUUAUAUAUCAGGUAUGCAUGAUUCUUAUUGCUACAGAUUAAAGACUUGAGGUGAGCUGUACGUAAUAUUCCAGCUAGUUACAAUAUGGAGCAUUUUUCUACAAAUAUUAUGCAAUGUUCUACAAAUAUUAGCAAUGAUCCAUACUUGCUAAAAAUUAGGCCCUUUGAAGGAAUCUCAAAAUCACUAGUCAUUUAUUAAAAUCUUGGUCAGUGCAUACUAGUAUGUUCAUAUAUUACUGAUGUUGCAAUUGUUAGUGGACUGUAGUACAGGAAAGGGGCCUCUUUCAUAAAAGUUCAUAAUAUUCAAUACAUGAUUUCCUAUCAGUCUAAUCUUUAAAACAAUCUACUUAUAUAGCAUUCACAUAAAAGUUAUAGGUAUUUUGGAGAAGACAAUUGUAGAAUAUUUUCUACAUUAUAUUAGUUUUCAAUCUUUACCAUCCUGAAAGGUUUGGGAUUGGGCUAUGGGGCCUUCCUGAAUGUAUCACUCCGUUAACUCAACACAGAAUAUUUAGAGCAGGGGUCGGCAACCUUUCAGAAGUGGUGUGCCGAGUCUUCAUUUAGUCACUCUAAUUUAAGGUUUUGCAUGCCAGUAAUACAUUUUAACAUUUUUAGAAAG